rnacentral:rRNA from 1 species
UACGUAGGUGACCAGCGUUGUCCGGAUUUACUGGGCGUAAAGAGCGCGCAGGCGGUCGUUCAAGUCGAGUGUGAAAGCCCCCGGCUCAACUGGGGAGGGUCAUUCGAUACUGAUCGACUUGAAGGCAGGAGAGGGAAGUGGAAUUCCCGGUGUAGUGGUGAAAUGCGCAGAUAUCAGGAGGAACACCGGUGGCGAAGGCGGAUCUCUGGGCCGUAACUGACGCUGAGGAGCGAAAGCAUGGGGAGCGAACAGG